GACGAACGCUGGCGGCGUGCUUAACACAUGCAAGUCGAACGGAAAGGCCCUGCUUUUGUGGGGUGCUCGAGUGGCGAACGGGUGAGUAACACGUGAGUAACCUGCCCUUGACUUUGGGAUAACUUCAGGAAACUGGGGCUAAUACCGGAUAGGAGCUCCUGCUGCAUGGUGGGGGUUGGAAAGUUUCGGCGGUUGGGGAUGGACUCGCGGCUUAUCCGCUUGUUGGUGGGGUAGUGGCUUACCAAGGCUUUGACGGGUAGCCGGCCUGAGAGGGUUAACGGGGACAAUAGGACUGAGGGAGGGCCCAGACGCGUACGGGAGGCAGCAGGGGGAAGUAUUGCACAAUGGGGGGAAGCCUGAGGCAGCAGCGCCGCGUGCGGGAUGACGGCCUUCGGGUUGUAAACCGCUUUCUCCUGUGACGAAGCGUGAGUGACGGUAAUGGGUAAAGAAGCACCGGCUAACUACGUG
rnacentral:rRNA from 1 species